rnacentral:lncRNA from 1 species
GGAGAUGCAGGGAACCACCACGUUGUACGGCAACCAACGUGCCGCCCCUCUGUGGGCGGGGAUUCACACUAGCUGUCUGUGUCAAGGCCACGGAGAAAUCUAUUGGAAAUCGCUGUGGAAACAAACGCAAAUGAAAAGCCGCAAAGAGCAAAGACGAAGGAAACUAAGAGAAUUACCAGUUGACCUAUGUUUAAAGAAUGACUGAGGAUAUUCUUCAAAGGAAAUGAUAACAGCAGGCAUAGAACUUUAGAAAGAAAGAAAGAACAAUGGAAUGAGAAAAAAUAGGGCUGUACUGCCUCUUUUGAUCAAUUUGCCCCAUUCAUGGUUAUGCAUGCUGAUGGAGACUGCUUUUGAAGCUUCUUUAUUGAAGGAGCGGGAGAAGAGUAAGAAAGUUGGAGCAGACUAAGAAGACAGGAAAGAAAGAAAAGCAAAAGUAAGAUAGAGGCUCUGAACUAGUUACUGGACCUCUACCCGUCAACAAGGCAGACCCUGCCUUCUUGGAACUUGUGCUCUGGCAGAACGGACAAGCAUGAAACAAGUAAUUGCAACAUGAUUUACUGUG